GUACUGAUUAUAUAAACGCCGUCAUAUUCCUCCUUUUCUCUUUCAAUGUUUGGUUUCCGUUACUUCACAUUUCUUGCCCUGUCACCUCAAUUUUUUAAUUAUUUUGUUCUCAAUGUUCAGUUGUUGAUGCGGUUGCAAGGAAACUUCGGCCUUAGAUUUGGUCUGACAGCUUUGAAAGGGGGGAACGAUUUACAGGCAGAUUGAACCUGUAUUGCUGUUCUCAGUAGGGGACAUCACAUAAAUCAAUUUCAAUACAAACACGGGCAUAAAUGAUUACCUUUUUGUCCACUAGCUUGCCAAGCAACAAUGCAACCAAGUGGAAAAUUCAUUUCUCCAAAAAUCCAGUGAGAACCACGGAAGCUCCACCCAAACUGGAACCCUCGACGGAAGUUCCUCUGUAGUGUUAAAUCCAACAUGCCACAGCUUAAUGAAGAGCCCAACUUGAUCAUAAAAAUAAGGCCCCCCUUCAAAAGCGUUAUUUCUGUUUGAUAUGCCUAAAAAAACCACGAAAAAAUAACUAUUGGCAGCCAGCAUCACCUCCAUUUCCCCUACCAGAUUCCAUGUGCAACAGGCCUACGAUUCCAAGAAAGGUAGUGAAACCUAAAUCCCUAUGAACUUGCAAAUCAAGGCAUGAUCAGUCAAAUGAUUGAUGUCCUCAGUAGAAUCGGGUUGAAUCACAAGAAUGAGCUUAUUUUCGCUCCUUGCAAGACAACAAUUCACCUUCACAGCCCGAAAACUUCCAUUUGUGAAGAGCUUUCUCCGAUGACAGUAUUAUUCAAAGCAAGGAUUGGAUUUUCAUGCAUGAUUUGGGACGAAAUUCCCCCUAUCACAACAUCUCUGAAAGGGAGAUUUUUCUUUAUCAAGGAGCCUCUAGGCAUUGCCAUGCAUAGCCUUCAAUGAAGAACAUAAAGCCCAAAAACCCUAUGCCCUAUGCCCUAAUUCUGCUCAAAAGUCAUCCUGUAGAUGCAUGGACAAGAAAUAGGCACAUAAAAUAGAAAUUGAACCCCGCAUAGGGUGCACACAAAACCACCGAUCUGCUCCCUUGAAACCACCAAACCACAGCAUCAAACCACAAAAAAGCACCCUAAAGCCCAUGAAAAAUACCAUGCACACCCUGCACACCCCAAAUAACCCGCACUAUGCCAAGUCUGAGAGAGAGCACAGCAGAAAAUCAGACUGCUAGGGCCUCUUAGCCCUAGCCAAAACCUCCGCCCGUCGCAGCAGCUCCAUUUCGGCCUUGUGAUAUUUCUAUUUGGAGGUAUUUUUGAUAUCAUGGGCAAGGGAAGAAUUUUCCAUACAUUUAUUUGCUUGAAAUUUCUAAUGCGAUGACAGCAAAUAAAGAAGUCCUUGUUAAUGAUGGAUCACGGAGUGUGAUCCGAAACGUUGAUCUAAAAACUUGCACACGAUCUUAUCCGGAAAUCUACUACAAGAAAGUCCUUGUUGCUUGAAGAAAUAAUGAAACUGACAGAAUUUGUGGCUGGUGAUGAGCAUUUGGAUAAUAGUUAUAUAUCAUUAGAUAUGAAUCUGAAUCCUGAUAUAUUUAUUGCUGUUAUACUGCUGUUGUUGCUGUCACUUCUGUCAUGAUUAAUUUAUUUUACUGUUAUAUUGAUGUCA